UACAGAGAUGGGCAACAUCAGGAAUGUGAAUGUCUCCCCUUCCUUGUUGUUCUGAAGUUAUACACACUUUGCUAGCAGCUCAAAGCCUUUGCCUGAUAGGAAUCAUUAACAUGACUUCCUGCCCCGCUGUCUGGGGUCUGUCAACAAGUGGGUCUUCUUGGUUCUGUUCACUGCUUUUUGAGACUCUGCCUGCACUUUCUCUAAGCCACAAUGGAGCUUAGGACUCUCUUUUUCCUGUUGAGUUCAGCAUAUCUUCAACUCCUUCCGUGGUGGUGCAGCUUUGUCAGAAAGAGGGGAAAAUGCCCCUGUGUUCUGCAUAAGCUGCAGCUCUGGUGGUUGGUUGGGCUCUGCUUGGUGGUCAGAAGACACAGGUAGAGCAAGCCUCAUGGCAGGGAAGUAGACUUGGAUCUUUUGUGCACAGGGUAUGUCUGCAGUCAGUGGGAUUGGCAAUUCUGUAAUUGGCUCUGAGAUAUGCUACACUGCCUGUGUCCUCACGGUUGUAUUUAAAAAGGAAGCGUGGCAGUUGGUAUCUAGCCCAGUCUGGCAGGUACCCAGUAGGUGUAUCUACUGCAAAACAGCUCUGAGGACUGGAAUGGAAGGCUGGCAUCUAGGAUUUGGGCUUUGAUCUAGAAUAGGUGUGAAAGGAGGACCAAACUUAUUUUAAGAGUUGGAUCCUGUAGCAGAAAUGCUAAGUCACAGCAUGAAACAGUGAUGGAGCCCCUGGUGGGAAAGCAGGGCUAACCCAGGGGAGCUCAGGUGCAUGCAAUGCAGUGCACCUGAGUGCCCAGAAGGGGUGGAGCCAGGAUCCACCUCCUCCUAGACCUCUUUAAUGGUUGGCAGUGGAGGCAAGAGGCAAGAAGUAUCUCACUGGAUGUUCCUACCUACCUGAGGCUUUCUAAAGAGCAAAAGCAGAUGACAACCAGUCCUCCUAAUAAGCGAGGAAAGGGAGUUCCAGCUGAUGAACUAAGAACGAAGCGUUGCUAUCACAUUGAGUACUUCCUCCUACCAGAUGAUCUCAUGCCUAGAAAAAUGGAUUUGAUGGUGUUCGGGACGGUUGCAAAGCUAUUUGCAGAGUCUGAUUCCAAGACUAUUGUGCCAUGGCUUGAAAAUGACCAGAUGUGGAUCUCCUGGGACCAUAAUACAAAUGUCAAUGUCACUAAUGAAUUUCUAAUAAAAUUAAGAGAUCAUAAAAUAACUUUAAAACUUUGGGACACCAAGGACAAGGUUUUCUCAGAAGCAAGGCUUAGUAAACCAGAUGUGUCCUCAGCAGAAAGAGAUGCAGAGGCUGUUGGUGGAGUAAAACACACAGUGCUGCUGCAAAGAAAAUUGUUUGAAGGGAAUCAGCCAGCACCCAGCUGUACAAGAAUUAGAGAAGCAAAGGAAUCCAAGGCACAGAAAAGGUCUUCAGCCCUUUCAAUCAAAGAAGAAACUGAUCAGAGUGGACUAGGAACUUCAAGUUAUAAUGUACUACAUCCUUCAAAGGCAGAUGACUUCCUUACAGUAAGAAACAGGUGUGAGGGUAAGGCCCAACUUCUGAAACAGAAAGCAGUAGCUGCUUCUUUGCAUAAUACAACUUCAGAAGAAACUGGGAAAACAACCAGCAGUGUGGAAAUUCUGAUGCGUCAAACAGACAAGACAGCUACCUUUAAUGGUAGAAGGGAUGCUGGUGCUAAAAAGGACAUGGAUACUACUAGGGCAAACAUUGCUUCACUGCAGUUGGAUCUCAUGCCUCUCCUCUCAGGAGAAAACUCAGUGAUCAGUCGGCUGGAAGAAAACAGUCCUAUUCUUUUAGAUGCUUAUGUGUCUUUCACUGUAGAAACACCUCUUCUGUCUGAAAGACAAAGGCAUGAAUUGAAUCCACUGGUUAUAAAGAUUUAUUCAGCUACCAGCCUUCCAAACACACCUAUACCAAUAGAAGUGCUACAGAGAUUGUGUGUUCCUACCUAUUGCAAAUACAAAUUUCACAAUUUUCCAGCUCAUCAGACUCAUGGACAAAUCCACGGAACUCAUGUCUACUUUAAGGAUGUUAAUGUAAUUCUAACAGGAACAAUGAAACCUGGGGAAUUACAAAGGUAUCUUAGAGGUCCACCUUUGGAGAUUGAAGUUCACGAUAGGGAUAGAAAAAUUGAAGACAACGAAAAAAAGCCUUUUUUAUUUGGGGAGGCUCAAGCUGAUGAAAAUCUAGGAGAAGUGAGGCCCUUCGGUUGUAAAUCCACAGUUUGUAAUUCUUUUACAGAGAAUGAAAUGUGGCAUCCACAUGGGGUAGCUAAAGUAAGUCUAACUGAUCUAUUGUUGGGUAAAAAGUACUUGGCUAUUAGUGCGCCCAUUCGUAGCUGUUCAACUCCAAGUGCAUUUGUUUUCAAUAAAGAGGAUAAAAGUAAGAAGAUAGGGAAGAAGUAUCCACAGAUUCUAUUACCUAUGGGACAUUAUCUACAAGCAGACUCGCUUUUGAAAGUGAGAGUGGAAAUAGCAGUGCCAUUGAGAAUGCAUGCAGAAGGCGAUGAUGCUCAAGUGGCAGAUUGCCCAUACGGUUGUAUAAUCUACAUUUUUGACUACAGUAAUUCAUCUUUAUUGCAUGAUUUGGUGGAAGAGAUUACAGAAAUCAAUGCUACAGCCCUUCAGCUGGACUGUUAUCCUCCACACAUAAUCAGAAUGGCUCUUGAUACGUUAAAACUGAAAAGCACACUAAAGAAGGCUUCUGAGUUAGAUGUUGUUACUGGCUUUCACCUACUGGAUGGAGCUUCUCAUCUCUUUGUCUUGGAGGGGUUGAAAGACAAAGCCAUCAAGAAACUCUGGGAUAGACACUUUGAAAGAACUUAUGGACAUGAAGAUGGACGACUGGAAAUACUUUAUAAUUCACAGCUGUCUUUCAGUCAGCGCCUGUAUGCAGACCUGGAAGCAAUCUUUUAUCAUUUCCACCUCUGUAAGCCCCUCUUCAGUAUAGUGAAACAGCCUCUGCUUUAUGUCAGAGGAGCAGUUCCUUGGGCAUGUUUCCAAGCCUUGUCCAGGCUCAGUUUCCUCUGUCACAGUAAGAGGUUGAGGGAUGUUAUUCAGGGGGAUCUGCUGCCCUCGGCAGAAAUGAUCGCAGCAUUGAGUCAAGAGUACGGAGCUCCAUUAACUGAUGAGGAUCUCUUCACUCAGAAACCUCCUCUACUCUCAUUUUCCUCUGACUAUACACCACCAGGAAAUGUUAGCAGAGAGAAAAAGGCAGGAUAUUCUUCAUUAGAUGACUACAAUGAAAAAUACGUGCGGUGGAAGAAGGAAAUAGCAGACAAAAAGUCUUUUGAGAGAAACCAAAUUAGGGCUAACAUUGAUGCUGUGUGCCAGCUUAAAGGAAAGAUGAAAAAGCUGAAGUUUGAAGCUUUCAGGAUUUCUCCUGCUGAUGGCAAAUCUGUUUAUAACUAUAGCUCUCAGAGCCUGAAUUCUGCAGAACUUGCAAAGAAGCAUCUUCGCCAGGAAAUGGCAAAGGAGCCAAAAACAAGGUUCACUUAUUGUCACGAGUAUCUUUCAGCCACAUUUGACCCAGUUGAUGUGGCUACUGCCUGUAAGGAGUCCUUUGCAAAAUCCAGGAGUAUGUGGCUGUCGCCAGAUGGAUUUGUAUUUCCUGGAUUUAAGAGCAGCAUUGAAAGCAACCUGCACCCUCGGAUGCCUGAUGAGGCACGCGUGGAGGAGUUACAAGAGAAAUGGCAGGAGAAUGCUCUGCAUGCUAACAUGGAACCGGUGCUGUCACGAGGCAGAUGGAGCUGGGACAAACGGCGUGUUGACUUUGAGCUGUACAGGAAGCCACCUGAACCCCCUCUGACAACAGCCUCAAUGACAGGUGCUACUCAUUUUGUGCAAAAUGCAUUUGAUGAUACCAAGCUGAAAGUUCACCGGUGCUCUGCAGCAGCUGAGUUACACACACGUGGGCCAGAAGCCAGUUCUCAGCUACAGAAGCUGCAAGGACUUCUGAAAGAUGAGCCCCAGAAAUUCUCACUCAGGAAGCCAGGACUAAUUUUGAAGCCUAUCCCAGCCCUGUCAGUGUUGGACUCUCAGAACAGCUCAGAUGUCCUGCCAAGAAAGAAGAGUGUUUGUAGUGGCUUUAUACCAGGCCUUCAAGAGUGCCACAGCCUGAAGUGGAACGAGAACAUUAUCCCCUGUCACAGCAGAGACCAUAAGAAGUUUGAAAAGCUCAAAGGUGCAGAUUUCAAUUAAGUUUACUUGACUCUUAAACAAUCAGUUAACAAGAGUGACCAAGCAGCAAGCGGCUGCACUACUACUACUACCUGUACACAACAUGGAGUGGCCACAGUGCUUUGAACAAAAUCAGCUGAGGUCCUUCCCAAACUGGUCCUGGUCCUUCAAGUCUUUCAGUGCUUCUCUAAAGGAAGUGUCAUCCCUGGAGCACAGAUGUUAGAUGGCUGGGACUGAUACUGAAGUACACUUACAUCAUGGUCGUGGUUUCUUAGGCCAA